rnacentral:rRNA from 1 species
UCCUACGGGGGGCAGCAGUGGGGGAUAUUGCACAAUGGGGGAAACCCUGAUGCAGCGACGCCGCGUGAGUGAAGAAGUAUUUCGGUAUGUAAAGCUCUAUCAGCAGGGAAGAAGAUGACAGUACCUGAGUAAGAAGCCCCGGCUAACUACGUGCCAGCAGCCGCGGUAAUACGUAGGGGGCAAGCGUUAUCCGGAUUUACUGGGUGUAAAGGGAGCGUAGACGGAUGGAUAAGUCUGAAGUGAAAGCCCGCGGCUCAACUGCGGGACUGCUUUGGAAACUGUGCAUCUUGAGUACGGGAGGGGCA